GCAAGCAAAGAGCAUUUAUUUUGCUAACAGGGGGCGGCAAGAGUUGGUGUUGAAUUUAAAUUCUGAUGAUGGAGGGAUCCCACAUCAGGAAGCUAACAUAAAAGUGGAUGCGAAGCUGGCUUUAAAUAGAGAGAACCAUGAGGAGAGUAAAGGUACCCUUCUUGGCUGAUCCCUUUCGCUUUGUGGCGUGCUCGGUUGGGUUGGGCGCCGGCUAAGAGUGCUCGGAGCGUGGAUUAACUCUAGUCUCCAAUCAGAUAAUUUCUAGCCUUAGACGGAUCGGAGCUGCGAGGGGCUCGGAGGAAGCCACACACACUGUUUAUUUUAUAGUUUUGAUUAUUACUUUUAAAUGUUUUAUGUGGGUUGUAGUAAAGCCGUUGUAAUUUUCUGGAUUUCAAAUUUGGAAUUUUAUUUAUUGUUCUUAUAAUUGCUAGUAUUAGAACACGGUUUUCCAAAGCAA